GACAGAGGGUGCAAACGUUGUUCGGAAUUACUGGGCGUAAAGCGAGUGUAGGCGGUCUUCUAAGUCGGAUGUGAAAGCCCCGGGCUCAACCCGGAAGUGCACUCGAAACUGGAAGGCUAGAGUAUCGGGAGAGGUUGGUGGAAUUCUCGGGUGUAGAGGUGAAAUUCGUAGAUAUCGAGAGGAACACCGGUGGCGAAGGCGGCCAACUGGACGAAUACUGACGCUGAGACUCGAAAGCGUGGGAGCAACAGG
rnacentral:rRNA from 1 species